rnacentral:lncRNA from 10 species
UGUGUACUUACAUAAGUUAUAUGUUGAAAUCUUAAACCCCAAUGUGAUGAUAUUGGGAGAGGAAGUCUUUGGGGGUUGAUUAGAUCAUGAGUGAUGAACUCAUGAAUGGCCUUAGUGACCUCAUAAAAGAGACUCCAGAGAGCUUUCUUGCCUCUUCUGCCAUGUGAGGGCACAGCAAGAAGACCAUGCUCUAUAAAUCAGAAAAUGGGUCCUUACAGACCAAACUGGCUGGCACCUUUAUUGUGGACUUUCCAAUCUGUGGAAAUUUUUUAUAGACCAAAGUUAAGGCUGAAUUGAGAAGGCUCAGAAGACCCUGGCUAGAGUUUCGUCAAGUUUAAAAUGAUCGUCAACUCUGUAUACAUCAAAAUUGAGUUCAGUGCGUGCUGGACUGUUUUCUCUGUUUCAAUAGUAUAUGACUCAUUAAAA